AGAGUUUGAUUAUGGCUCAGGAUGAACGCUGGCGGCGUGCUUAACACAUGCAAGUCGAACGGGAAUGCCACGCUGAUGCGAUUUCGGUCAAAUCAUGUGGCAUUCGAGUGGCGGACGGGUGAGUAACGCGUGGGUAACCUGCCUUACACAGGGGGAUAACACCUGGAAACAGGUGCUAAUACCGCAUAAGCGCACAGGGCCGCAUGGCCCGGUGUGAAAAACUCCGGUGGUGUAAGAUGGACCCGCGUCUGAUUAGCUUGUUGGCGGGGUAGGGGCCCACCAAGGCGACGAUCAGUAGCCGGCCUGAGAGGGUGGACGGCCACAUUGGGACUGAGACACGGCCCAAACUCCUACGGGAGGCAGCACUGGGGGAUAUUGGACAAUGGGGGAAACCCUGAUCCAGCGACGCCGCGUGAGUGAAGAAGUAUUUCGGUAUGUAAAGCUCUGUCAGCAGGGAAGAAAGAAAUGACGGUACCUGACCAAGAAGCCCCGGCUAACUACGUGCCAGCAGCCGCGGUAAUACGUAGGGGGCAAGCGUUAUCCGGAAUUACUGGGUGUAAAGGGAGCGU
rnacentral:rRNA from 1 species